ensembl:lincRNA
UUGGUGAUCGAUUGGUUGUGAUCCACCAUGCAGAAGUGAGUGAUGAAAGGCAACAGAGCUGAUGGGUCAUGAGGAUGUAAGUGCAUUUGAAGGCUCUCACACCCUCUACUCCAGGGUCCAUCUUGGGAAAAAGGGAAAAUUCACAUGGAGAAAGAAGCAGCUUCACAUCUUUGAGCCUACAUUUGCAGGGGAGCCAUAUCUGGCAACAGAGAAGGCAAUGGCACCCCACUCUAGUACUCCUGCCUGGGAAAUCCCAUGCGCAGAGGAGCCUGGCAGGCUGCAGUCCAUGGGGUCGCGAACAGUCGGAGACGACUGAGCAACUUCACUUUCACUUUUCACUUUCAUGCAUUGGAGGAGGAAAUGGCAACCCACUCCAGUGUUCUUGCCUGGAGAAUCCCAGGGACAGGGGAGCCUGGUGGGACACAGAGUUGGACACGACUGAAGUGACUUAGCAGCAGCGGCAGCAUGUCUGGCAAAAGCAUAGAUAAGGCAGUGCUUUUGGAAGGAGUAUCUGGUCAUUUUCUUCAAGUUCAACAUCUCUCAUCCAAUUAGAUGUAGCAGCUGGAUUCUCAUGUGUGCAUUCCAGUUACAGAGGAAGAAGAGUUGAACCACUUGUGGUGUCCCAGGUGGUAAAGAAUCUGCCUGCAAUGCAAGAGAUCCAGGUUCAAUCCCUGGGUCGGGAAGAUCUCCUGGAAAAGGGAAUGGCAAUCCACUCCAGUAUUCUUGCCUGGAGAAUUCCAUGGAUAGAGGAGCCUGGUGUACUACAGUCCAUGGGGUUGCAAAGAGUCGGACAUGACUAACUAACACUUUUACUUUCACUAACAUAGUGUUAUAUCUGCUGGGAAAGGUAUCAUUAUAAAUAAUGUGGGAAAUUUUAAAAAUUUUAAAUGUAGGUCCUAGAAUUUAGGGCUGGAAGAAAAUGUGAAGAGAAAGGAUAUUUUCAUCCUAUGCUUCAUCUUACAAUAAGGAAUUUGAGUCCCAUAGAAGAGACAUAAUAAGCCAUCAGAUCCUAUCUUGUUAUAACAUAAAAGAAUCAGGACUUAAGACACUAGCUCUUCUUGUACCAUGAUGCUGAUUUUUGUAAUUCAGUGAGUUCUGACCACUUACAUAAGAAUCCAGGGGCUCUCAUUCUGUUGCUGCUGUUCCCUUAAUUCUAGUAUUGGUAACAUGUGCUUGAUUUGAUUCCCCUGCUUUACCCACUUCAAUUUUAUUUUAUAUUUUAAAGCUGAGAAAAAUGAAGGUUGCUUUUAUUUAGGCCACGGCUACCACUAGUUGCUUUGCUUUAGCUGACAUCCUUUCUUACCUCAGUGGAUAGAAAUAUCAAUGAGAAUAUCCUUGUACAAGGAGGACAGAAGUGCUAGCCUACUCUUUAUGGAGGCCUAUUUUCCAACAGUUCUAUCUAGUCAAUCCUUGAAUGUGUUACUAGAGAUUGAAGACCUAAAAAAAGAAACCCCCCAGAAAAUUUCAAGCAAAAAUGUUUACCUCCUCAAGAUAAUUUUUUAAAGCCAAAUUGGAAAAAGGUGUAUUAUGAAAAAUGUUUAGAAUGAAAUGCAG